rnacentral:rRNA from 1 species
UACAGAGGUCCCAAGCGUUGUUCGGAUUCAUUGGGCGUAAAGGGUGCGUAGGCGGCGCGGUAAGUCGGGUGUGAAAUCUCGGAGCUUAACUCCGAAACUGCAUUCGAUACUGCCGUGCUUGAGGACUGGAGAGGAGACUGGAAUUUACGGUGUAGCGGUGAAAUGCGUAGAUAUCGUAAGGAAGACCAGUGGCGAAGGCGGGUCUCUGGACAGUUCCUGACGCUGAGGCACGAAGGCCAGGGGAGCGAACGGG